AUCUUCUCUGCUCAACAUCCUGACCAAAAUGCUUAAUAUAUUAAUCCUUAAGCUACAUGUAUGGGGCUUGCUUCUAAAUACUUUUAAUGAACCUACUACAUAAACUGGUAGCAUUAAGAACCUGGGGUUUAGAUGUCUUAUCUGCUGUAACUUCUGCCUAAGCAUGACUAGAAGAGAAAAAGCACUGGAUGAUUCCUACAUCCUCUCCUGAAACUGGAGGCAGCAGCAUCUGUCUACUGAUGUCAUUCUCAUAAGCAUGUGGAACAGCAGGAUCAUAGUCUAUCUCUGUCUAGCCACAGUGUUUUAAAAUCUACUAAAGAAGCAACAGACCUGAGCCAGCCAAACAGUAAAGCUGACAGAGUCAAGGCAGAAACUGUGGAAGCUGAAAGCUGUGAUGACUUUAAAAGCU